rnacentral:misc_RNA from 1 species
GAUGAAGAACGUAGCGAAAUGCGAUACUUGGUGUGAAUUGCAGAAUCCCGUGAACCAUCGAGUCUUUGAACGCAAGUUGCGCCCGAAGCCACUAGGCCGAGGGCACACCUGCCUGGGCGUCACACGCCGUUGCCCCCCCAUCUACUCCUUCGGGAUUGCGGGGGGGCGGAUGAUGGCCUCCCGUGCGCCUAGCCGCGCGGUUGGCAUAAAUACCAAGUCCUCGGCGACGCACGCCACGACAAUCGGUGGUUGCGAAACCUCGGUUGCCCGUCGUGUGCGUUCGUCGCGCAUCGAGGGCUCGAAAAAAUGCUCGGCUCCGGCUGGGCUUUCAACGCGACCCCAGGUCAGGCGGGGUUACCCGCUGAAUUUAAGCAUAUCAAUAAGCGGAGGA